AGUUAAGGCUCAGAUAGGUCAAGCAGCUUGCCUGACUUCCCACAGUUAGCAACUGAUAUACCAGGGAUUUCAGUCCGUCUUCUUUCUAAAAGCAGAAGUCUGUCUGCUUAUAUCACUGCCUUCAAUGAGUAAAAUGAUCCUCUCUUUUAAAAGCAAAAUUAGGGGUUCCCGUCGUGGCGCAGUGGUUAACGAAUCCGACUAGGAACCAUGAGAUUGCGGGUUCGGUCCCUGCCCUUGCUCAGUGGCGUUGCCGUGAACUGCGUUGCUGUGGCUCUGGCGUAGACUGGUGGCUACAGCUCCAAUUCGACCCCUAGCCUGGGAACCUCCAUAUGCUGCGGGAGCAGCCCAAGAAAUAGCUAAAAAGACAAAAAAAAAAAAAAAAAAAAAAAAAAAAAGCAAAAUUAUUUCACCAUUUUGAUAGCUACCCAGGUGAUGGUCCUGAGCCCUUUGGAGAGAAUUUUUUAGCUUGAGAGACACUGUUCAGCAGCUAAGGUUCUAUUUGGAGAUUACUAUGAAUAUUACCUAACCUGAAAUCCUAAAAGGAAAUAAAUUCACAAGAAAACAGACUGUGAGUAGCCUAAAACAAGUGUUUGUUAAACUGAUGGAGCACCUGACAGGGGAACAUAUAUUCUCCACCCCUCCCCACAUAGGUUUAUGUUACUCUUCAUAAGGCAAUUCCAGGAAGUUUUGGAGGCAAAGCUUCCAAAACAUGCAAUUUUUAUUCAGAACUGAAAAAGAUGAUAAAAACAAUGGGUUUCUUCUUCCUAAUCUAUAGUUCUGCCAAAGUUUAUUGAGAAAAAUGAUAUAUAUCCAUAUAGUCACAUAUAUAUAGUCAUAAAAUUAUUUUUUCUUAUUAUAUGUCCACUGUAAGUUAGGCUUUUUUUUUUUUUAAACAAAUUCCAUUCCCUUCAGUAAAAUUGUGGUAGCAUUUUUGCAUACAAAUAGAUUCAGUUUAAAUAAAUGUUUCAAAUAUAUCAUGGUGUUAGCAAAAGUCAGAAAGUAAUAUCACUACAAGAAACCAAAUUUCAUAUAGGCUUGAGGUCUAAGCUGAGACCCGAUCAGUUUAUCUUUGUUUUUCUUCUAGAUUUUAUGCUGAUGAAUUAUUUCAUUUUAACUACCUAUGUGUGGGGGCAAGAGAUUGAUUAAUGAAGUCCCUGAGAGAAGAUAUUGAACAUUAUGUACAAGUGAAAGAAAAGAGAAAAACCAAAAAAACUGUAUAGAAAUUAUGUAAUUCUUAGCCACAGCGAUUUCUUUAAAAAUUUAUGAAAAGAUUCUGCCGUCCUUAGGUGAGUUGAUUUCUUCAGACACAAGUAGGUAAAUUUCUCCCUGUAGAUACUCAUUGGUCAGCUGAUAUUACGUCGUAUCAGCUUAGGUUUGCUUAGAAAAACAGGCCACUCUAGGUAUUUGAACAAGAAAAGACUUGAUGCAAGGAAUUAAUGCCUACAAAGCUAUGGAAAAGGCUGGGCACGAAGGUCAGAGAGAACUAUUUCUGGUCU
rnacentral:lncRNA from 1 species